GCAGCUGCUCUCCCCUGAACCGGAGGGACAGGCAGAAGGUGGGCGUCCGUCCGGAGAGCGGAGCCGUGCAGGACUCCGGGUGGGGAUGAAUUAGAGACGGGCUGGAACCAGGCCACAAUGAGAAUUUCACUGCACGCUUCUUGUGCUUCCUGACUGGGCUGUAGUGACCAGGAGUAGUUCUGGAGGAAAUGAAAAGCUGGUACCUGUUGGGCGAGCUGUUGGGGUGAGAAACUGCGUCCGAAGAGUCCUGGGUGGAACAAACUGCGUCAUGAGCAGGGGGACAGUGUCUGCAUCCCCCUUCUGCAGCCUGGAGGAGUCAGGGAUUGCCUCAGCAAUGAUUUAUCACUUGGGGACACGGCACAGACCAGGCACGGUCAGACUGUGCUGGGCCCACCUCCUCCUGCUGCUGAAUGCAGGAUGAGAGGCAGGGGCGCUCAGGAACAGCAGCCCAGGUCUUCAACUUUUGAAGGUGAUCCAAGCAGACAAGCAUUAUCUCUUGCUGCAGUACAUCGCCUCUGUGCCCACCCUCAGCUGGCUUUGCUUUUUUUGCAAAAAGCAAACCAGACAUGGGAAUCAAAUGCCUGUUGGCCAAGGAAGAGCUCCAUGAACCAUUCUGAGUACAUGCUGCUGCAACAAGGGGGCCCAGGGGUGGCUGCGUCCCCCCAUUGCUGUCCUGCCCCCAGGGAGCUCUGUCAGUGCCCAUUUCCUACUGGAAACAUCAAAUAUCACCAAACCUGGGGCACUG
rnacentral:lncRNA from 1 species